rnacentral:piRNA from 1 species
GACUUCUUGGGCAACCUAUUGUA